UUACCCACUCCAACCCACCAAUGUGAAGAGAGGUCAACCCUGUUUCUUGACAAGCCGCACAAAGGAUGCUGUUGCUCACUGGACUGGUCAAAGCCAGAGUGUUCCCUGAGCCUCCAGCAGUUUGAAAGUCUGUGACUUCAUAUCCCAUGGCAUAUUUCCCAAGAAUGAAGACAUUCCCAGUGUUUUGUGAGUGACAGAGGACCCCUGGGAACAGGCUAAGUGAAACACGAGCCCAUCUGAAAGAAGGGAGAUUGUGGAAAGAACGGACAAAAGAUCCAAACAGCACCCAAGUCCAGUGCUAAAUGGGCCACAGGGAGGAACCAAGAAGACAUAGAUCCCACCUCAGGGAAAGUAGCUCCUAAGGCUAGGUAGUCAUAAAAUGAGGACAAGAUAGGUUCCCCUCACCCAGGACAGGCAGUCCCCUACCAAGCCAGCCCACAGACCAGGACAGCCCCUUGGGUCCCUCACCUGAGCUGGAAGCCAACCUUCAAGGGUAGCUGGAGGAAGUUGUGUUCCUGGGUGCAACUGACCUGCGCACCUGUUGCCCUCCACACCCUGUCUCCGCCCACUUGAGCCUGGGGCUGUGGUGGGAGGGGCAGGUCCGCUUUCUGUCUGCUGCUCAGGGUCCACCGGCUACAGUUUUCUCGUCUGCACCAUCAAUUCCAAGCUUUCGUUUUGCUCUUGGAAAGGGAGGAAGGGCAGUGCUUCCAGAGCUCAGGGUGAACUUUGGAACUGUCCCGGGAAUGACGGAGAAGGUAGGACUGGGGACCCCCCGCCCCAUUACCAUGGACCUUACCCUCUGUCCUGCUCACUUGGGCCAGGCCAGAGCAGAGUCAGGGAACAGGUGACGGAGCAUCCUGGACUGGAGUCUGCGUGCUACAAACCUGCAAAGGCAUCAAGGUGGAUAUCAGCAGAGUGGGAAGUUCCCUAGACUGCAGCCCAGCUGCUGAAGGUGGAUAUCAGCAGAGCGGGAAGUUCCCUAGACUGGAGCCCAGCUGCUGAAGGUGGAUAUCAGCAGUGUCCCCUGACUAGAGCCAACCAGAGAGUCACCCGUACCCCUUACGCCCAUAACAAUAGAUUUGUGAUUUUUUGCCUUUAAAACUCUGACUAAGAAUGGUGGGGCACUUCCUCUGGUCCCCAUUGCAUUGGUGUGCAAGAUGAGUCACAAUUUGUACUACAGGAUUAAACCUUGCUUUUGCAUUUUGGUGA